UGGUCCUAUGGGACGCAGCAGUAGGGAAUCUUCGGCAAUGGGCGAAAGCCUGACCGAGCAACGCCGCGUGGAGGAUGAAGGUUUUAGGAUUGUAAACUCCUUUUGUGAGAGAAGAUAAUGACGGUAUCUCACGAAUAAGCACCGGCUAACUCCGUGCCAGCAGCCGCGGUAAUACGGAGGGUGCAAGCGUUACUCGGAAUCACUGGGCGUAAAGAGUGCGCAGGCGGGCUUGUAAGUCAGAUGUGAAAUCCUGUAGCUUAACUACAGAACUGCAUUUGAAACUAUGAGUCUAGAGUGUGGGAGAG
rnacentral:rRNA from 1 species